UUGUCAGGUGUUGGAUUGGAAUGUCAUGUGCUGAUCCCCUUAAUAUUGAUGAACAUUUCAUUCAGUUCGCUCAUUCUAUAGGUCACUCACGGGCCCGUCAAUCCUUUCUACAACUUAUUUGGUUACUAUGUGUUUGGUUGGUUUGGAAUGAACGUAAUAAUAGACUCUAUAAUAAUAUCCAAACCACCAUGGAACAACUAGUAGAAAAAGUUAAAUAUCACUCUUUGUGGUGGCUAAAGGCUAAUAAGGCCAACUUUAUGUACGGUUCACAAAAAUGGUGGUCGGACCCUUUAUUAUGUUUGGGUAUCAACCGACCAGCACAUUGACUCUUCAUUGUAUGGUUGACUAUUUCUAGGGGUGGCACUUUUAGUACAUCUUGUACUUAGGUGUUUCACUGCCGUUGUUAAUAUAUCCCAUUUUUAUGUCUUCAAAAAAAAGAAUACACUUCUUCAAAAUGCAUGAAAAUUGUAAUUCUAGUCUUACUAUAUAAAAUAGAGGUUAAAAAGGUUUUACUAUCACAAAAUGAAUGUAUAAAUGAGUUUUUCCUAGAGUAAGAUGAUUUCACACAUUUGCACCAACAUAUAAAAAAAGAAGUUGAAAAAGGAAUGUGACAUUUUAAAUUGCGGUUGCAGUAGUGACUGCCAUUACGAUACAAACCUCGAUAUUAUCGAGAAAUACGGUUAAAUGUUGCCACAAUAAUAGAAUUGCAAGAAAAGAUGAUUUCUUGGGAAUAUGAAAUGUGAUCCAAGCAUAGAUUAGGACAUAUUGAGUGGAAAAAAAAUGAAAAGAUAUAAACAUUUGAUACCAUGCUUCUCCGCCUCACUUCUUUUUUUUUUUUAAUUUUUUUAUCCAACCACAAUAAAAAAAUGAAAUAAUAUAAAUUUUUAAGUUCGGGGGCAUUUUGCACAUAAGUGCAAAACUUCAGGGGGGUAUUUGCAAAAUGUCAUGUUCACUAACAUAAAAAUUUGACAGAGAGGGUAAAUUGAUUAACAUUUGCAAUUUCAGGGGGGUAAUUGAAGUUUUGUUAAUUUCAGGGGAUAAUUGACGAAACUUACAAUUUCAGGGAAGUAAUUGCCUAUUUACUCAUUUAUUAUAUUAUUAUUAUUAUUAUUGAUGAUGGUGAUGACGAUGAUGUUGUCAAACAAACAACAAAGUAUCAAAUCACAUCAAAAUUUCGCAUGACGUAUUUAGGCGAGAGUAAUAUUAAGAUAGGUGACCUCUUGAUGAGUCAUUGAGUUGCACCUCAUCACAUUUUAUUUUACUGUCUGAUGAAUAAAACUCAAUGUUUGUUAGCGAUGAAUCCUAAGAAGCAAUAACAAACUCACACUCAACAUCCUGUUUUUUAUUGAUAGAGGAGUUGAUUUCUUGUCCUCGUGAGCAUAAUUCGGUUAGUAGAGCCAUUGUAUUAUAUAUGCAAGAAGCAUAUCUCCUCCGGUGGAAAUUUCACUAGACACUCCAGUUUUAAUUUUGACCAAUAAAACUUCAUCUCUCUCUCUCUCUCUCUCUCUCUCUCUCUCUCUCUCUCACUGUGUGUGUCUGUGUGAUUCCACUGGACACUAAUGUCACUUCAGGGAAUCUAUUCACAUAGAUGCAAGGACGGAGAUUCGAAUCUCGAAUUCUCCACUUAUUCAUCUUAGAGAUAAAAUUCUUAAAAUGAUGCUAAUUGAAAAUAAAAAAAAAGGAGUUGGCAUUCCCAUUUCCUUUGGAUCAGACUACAAAUAAAUGUUUUUUUUGUUUUGUUUUGUUGUCAUUCUGCUUGUGCUAUAGGAGAGAUUGAUUGUCCUCAACUCAACUAAGGUGGAAAAUGAGUCAAGUUGAAUUCGCUACAGUUAGAGUCGAUAGAAAGUAAUUCAAUUUGUAAUAUGACUCAAAUUCGAUACGAACUUAUUUUACCUCAAUCUCGACUUAUUUUAAGUUCAUGGGCAACUUAGUAUAACUCAUUUGCUCGAAUAACAUAAUUCAAAAGUCGAUUUUAUGUAAAGAAAUGUCAAAAAUUUUAGAUCUUACUUUUUAUACUAUAUAAUUUCUUUAAAAAAAAAAUACUGAAUUAAAAUAAAAGUUAUCUAAAGUAUAAGAUGUAGAAAGAAUAGACACAAAUACAAAUUAAAUUAAAUUUUAUAUUUGCAUAAAUAAUCGGCUAAAUAUAGACAAAUAAUAUAAAAUCAUUUUUUAUCAUGGAAAGACAAAGCUAACUUAUGUUCCAAAGCCUAUGACCGGACCGGUUAGUGUUCCAAAGCUAACUUAUGUUCCAAAGAAGAAAAAACCAGCUAGUGAGACGCAAGAAGUGAUUUUAGUCAUUUUUUGGGCUUCAUUCAUAAAGAUUCCAACGGGAAUCUUGACUUACUAAUGAGUAAUGAGGAAAGUUUUGGUUUUAAAGUUUAUUUUUGUAAUAAGUUUAUUCUUGAAGUCUUCCACAACAUUUCAUUUAACUCAACCGAACUUACAGUACAAAGAAGAACAACAUGUAACGACUUUGGAACAAAUAUCUUGUCAAGUACCAUAAUAAUUCUAAAAAUUUAGAGUGAUGUGGUGCUUGAGGAUAAAACUGUUGAAGUUCUCAAACCCACGCUGUUGGACAACAUAUUCAUAAUUCAAAUGUUACUCAUAAUAUCCAUCACAUGGAACGACUUUGGAGCAACAGUCCAAAAGAAAAAAAAAUUCUAAAAAACUAGAGUGCACAAAUGUCUUUGUUAUCAAAUUACAUGAUUAAACCAUACAAGACUCAAAACAUCUAUGAAGUUGUCUGGUUAAGGAAGAAAUAAAAUUACAACGACUCAAACCAAAAUAUUACAAAACAUUCUCAAAACCAUGAUCAACUCACUCUAAACCCUCUACAUUGUCUUCAAAGCAUAGAAAAAGACUCCAAAACUUAGCUAAAAAAUCAUAUGGUGAGGUGUCAUCAAGUGCUUAUUAGGUAUUAACAAUAAAAAAUUAAAAUAUUAAAAAAUCAGGUUGGAGCAGUUGGGCCUAGUUAAGCACCCAAAUGGAGUGCUCUAUUGUGGAUUUUGUUAGAGCAUAUAUAUAGAAUUCGGCUCUUUACCUAAAUGGAUUUGCUCAUUCCUAAAGUAAAUGAUCAAAAUGUCUCUACGUAAGUUAAGUCACGUUGGUAUAAAUUUCCAAAUUUUUCACGUGACUUAAAGUCACGCUUUAUACUUGUAUUGAUUUUUGUUAUGAAUUGUUGUAAUUGGUGUAUUGUAUUGCAUAUUGAGGUAUAUUGUAUUGUUUAUGUGCUGAAUGGUAAAAAUUAAUGAGAAUGUGUUGCUGAAUCAUUGCAUGGAAACCUGGCUGUAUUGGAUUGAUGUGGUUUUAAUUCUAAGGAAUUGUGUGUAACUGAGAAGAAAUCAAAGUUAUUCUUAAAAGGCUUUUGAUAAUAAGCUUUUAAGAGGGUUUUGUGAAGCAUCGUUUUCACUUUGCAUGGACAAGAUCUUCAUUCAUACUUCAUAGAAGUUUUGUAAGGGGGGUGCCCAACUAUAAUAAAACGUGUCUUCUAAGUUAGGGGGACUAGUAAGUGUAGAAAUUAACUCUUUGGAAAGUAGUAAGUGCCCAAUUAUAAUAAAGCGGAAGAAUUUGAAAAUUUAUACGCUAUGCGUAGGGGUAUCUUGGUCAUUUACUUUAGGAAUGAGCGAAACCGUUUGGGUAAAGAGCAGAAUUCAUAUAUAUAUAUAUAUAUGAAGCUCUUAUUUUGGGUGUUUAAAUGAGUUAUCAUGUAUGCACAUUUAUUUUAUAAUUUUAUUUUAAGAGUGAUAAUAAACAAACAUUCAAUCUCUUCAAUCCAACAUUUUAAAAAGUUUGAUAAUAAUGAGUCUCACAAUUAACUCUUUAUGACUACAUCUCAAUAAAAUUUAUUUAUUUUAGUACAAUUUAUUAAGUGGUUUACAAAAAGUUAAUAGAAAGAUUAUGCUUCCAAAUCACUGUUAAAUAGGUGAAAACUUAAUUUCCUUGUGGAUGAUUUUAGAUCAUCCCAAUGAUAGUUACUUUACCUAAUAAGAGAACCAAAUUUAUUAGGCAACCCCCAUUGGAGGAUAAAAAGAAUGAGUGGUUAAUAAAUAGCAACCAACUAUUGUAUACACACUAUCUUUCCUCUCUUAUAAGAUUAAAAUAUAUUUCAUAAAUAAGUAAAUUAUCUUUUGAAAUAUAAUGAUAUAAAAUUAUUUAAUGAUAUCCAUUUAGUUAUUGUUUUAGAGGUGUUGGUUUGAGUAUUUUAUUUUAUAAGAAAAAUAUGCUUACAACAUUUCACAAUAUAUACUUUCUAGAAUACAUGUUGAAAUCUCAACAAAGAUGUGAAAUAAAUUUUCACUUGAUUUUGAAUCUCUACUACCAAAUAUAUCCUAGUUGAAUACUUAUUUGUUAUUAUUAUCAGAAUUUUUUUAUUUUUUAAUUUUAAAUAACCAUCAUACUCUUUAUAGAUCACUUUAUUGAUUAUUGAAGAUGGUCUUAUAACGUAAGCGGGAUGACGUACAUGUCUUUGGCCGUAUUAUGAAUGGAUAACAUAGACGGAGUAAAUUCAUGUACCAUAAAUUAAUACGCCCCACCUCCUACUCACAAAAUAAAGUGAAAACAUUGGAUAUGAAGAGUUGAACCAAACCAAUAAUAGUGAUUGGUGAGCCCCUCUGCACCGUACUAGGUUUUUGUUUUGGUUUGGCUUGGAAGCUUUAAAAAGAUAAGAUCAACAAAUGAUUCAUCACAGUUCAAUUCCUAGUCUGAGUCAAGGAUGAGUGAAGGCAGGAAGAAUCAACAAUACGGUUCAACUGAAUCAGCAUCAUCUCAUCAACAACCUACCAACACUGGAGAUUCCAACUCCUCUUCUAAUGGUGCAAGGAUGAUGAAGGGUUUAAAACCGACGGUACUUCCAAAAAGAGGAGCUGUGGUGAAGAGGGUUCUUGGCAUAUUUACUUCCUCCACCACCGAUGGGUUAGAUAGUUAAUUACUUACCUUAUGCUGAAAUUAUAAUUAGGUAUCAAUCAAUAACUUCCAUGUUUUCUAAUCUGUCAAAAUAAUAAUAAUUAUGUUUUGUAUCUGUGCUUGUUUACGUACGUUUAUUAUUGUAGUAUUAUUUAAUUUACUCAUGAUUCUGCCGUUGCUGUUGCCAAUUUUACAUAUGUAACUUUGUAAGUGACAAGAUUGGUGUGAAUUCUAAUUCAAAGUCACACCUAUAAACUUAAAUGUGUGGAGCAAAAAGGAAGUAAUAAUCAAUAUCAAAGUAACCUCAACAAUCAAGUGUAAGAUACAAAACCACAAACAAAAAAUAAGAGAGAAGGGAAACAAACACAUCAAAAAAAUAUGCACCCAGUUCGGUCCAAACUUAUCUACUAUCAAUGAGUUCUUUACAAAGAGAUACAAAAUAUUACAAGAAAUUAACUUCAACAAAUAAAGAACAAACUCUAAUUUCUAUUGUUUUCCUAAUAUCUCCAAUGAAUAAGACAUUCAAUGAUUUUCACUCACAAAAAAUGUUUACAAUUGUUUCAAAACCCAAAACAAACUCUCUCUCGAGAGAAUCCUCAACCCUAAAAUUAUCUCAUUUGAUUUCUCAAGUUUCUCUCUCUUGAAGCUCUACUCAAUACAUGAUGAAUGAAGCCUUAUAUAGUGCUCAGAUCCCAAGAAAUUGUGCCCCGACUUUCACUUCGUACACUAUAUUAUAUGAACAUUAUCUAAAAAUCGUAUCC
rnacentral:lncRNA from 1 species